rnacentral:rRNA from 1 species
CCUACGGGGGGCUGCAGUGAGGAAUAUUGGUCAAUGGACGAGAGUCUGAACCAGCCAAGUAGCGUGAAGGAUGACUGCCCUAUGGGUUGUAAACUUCUUUUAUAUGGGAAUAAAAUGUUCCACGUGUGGGAUUUUGUAUGUACCAUACGAAUAAGGAUCGGCUAACUCCGUGCCAGCAGCCGCGGUAAUACGGAGGAUCCGAGCGUUAUCCAGAUUUAUUGGGUUUAAAGGGAGCGUAGGUGGAUUGUUAAGUCAGUUGUGAAAGUUUGCGGCUCAACCGUAAAAUUGCAGUUGAAACUGGCAGUCUUGAGUACAGUAGAGGUGGGCGGAAUUCGUGGUGUAGCGGUGAAAUGCUUAGAUAUCACGAAGAACUCCGAUUGCGAAGGCAGUUCACUGGACUGCAACUGACACUGAGGCUCGAAAGUGUGGGUAUCAAACAGGAUUAGAUACCCCUGUAGUC